UACGGGGGGGGCAAGCGUUGUUCGGAAUUACUGGGCGUAAAGGGCUCGUAGGUGGCCAACUAAGUCGGACGUGAAAUCCCUCGGCUUAACCGGGGAACUGCGUCUGAUACUGGAUGGCUUGAGUUCGGGAGAGGGAUGCGGAAUUCCAGGUGUAGCGGUGAAAUGCGUAGAUAUCUGGAGGAACACCGGUGGCGAAGGCGGCACUCUGGGCCGGAACUGACGCUGAGGAGCGAAAGCGUGGGGAGCGAACAGG
rnacentral:rRNA from 1 species